rnacentral:rRNA from 1 species
GGCGGUAUGCUUAACACAUGCAAGUCGAACGGCAGCAUGUUGUUUCUUUUCGGAGAAAUAAUGAUGGCGAGUGGCGGACGGGUGAGUAACGCGUAGGAAUCUACCCUAAAGUGGGGGAUAACCCGGGGAAACUCGGGCUAAUACCGCAUAAUCUCUACGGAGCAAAGCUGGGGACUAAAGUUUACUUUAGCCUGGCGCUAUAGGAUGAGCCUGCGUCGGAUUAGCUAGUUGGUGGGGUAAUGGCCUACCAAGGUGACGAUCCGUAGCUGGUCUGAGAGGAUGAUCAGCCACACUGGGACUGAGACACGGCCCAGACUCCUACGGGAGGCAGCAGUGGGGAAUAUUGGACAAUGGGCGCAAGCCUGAUCCAGCAAUACCGCGUGUGUGAAGAAGGCCUUCGGGUUGUAAAGCACCUUCAGUAGCUAAGAAAUACUCAAAAUUAAUACCUUUGAGGGCUGACGUAAACUACAGAAGAAGCACCGGCUAACUCUGUGCCAGCAGCCGCGGUAAUACAGAGGGUGCAAGCGUUAAUCGGAAUUACUGGGCGUAAAGCGCACGUAGGUGGAUGCUUAAGUCGAAUGUGAAACCCCGAGCUUAACUUGGGAGCUGCAUUCGAUACUGAGUAUCUAA